GUUCACGGUCAUAUCACUUUGAAAACACCGGUUCUCGUCCGAUCGCCGAAGUUAAGCAAAGUCAAGCCUAGUUAGUACUUAGAUGGGUGACCGCUUGUGAAGACUAGGUGCUGUAAACA
rfam:Octopus bimaculoides Scaffold50835_contig_25, whole genome shotgun sequence.